UACGUAGGGGGCGAGCGUUAUCCAGAUUUACUGGGCGUAAAGCGCGCGCAGGCGGUCUUCCAAGUCAGUGGUGAAAGCCCGGAGCUCAACUCCGGAACUGCCAUUGAAACUGUGAGACUGGAGUACGAGAGAGGUGAGUGGAAUUCCCAGUGUAGAGGUGAAAUUCGUAGAUAUUGGGAAGAACACCGGUGGCGAAGGCGGCUCACUGGCUCGUAACUGACGCUCAGGCGCGACAGCGUGGGGAUCAAACAGG
rnacentral:rRNA from 1 species